rnacentral:lncRNA from 1 species
GUACUCCUUUACCGUGGUUGAGCCAUUGAAUAUUGUAUGGAGUAGAGUGGGGUCGUGGUUUCAAAUUCAGUUUUUCCACCAAUGUUUGGGAAGCCACAUUGGUACAACUCCCACCGUCAAUUAUCACCGUACACACCCGCUGAUUGAUAGUACACCUGGUAUGAAAAAUGGAUUCUCGCUGAAGAGCUUCUUCCCCAGCAGGAACAACGUUUAGGGCUCGUCGGAUUACCAGGCUCUUGCCUUCAUCUGGACCCACUAGUUCUUCGGUAGGCUCGGUUUGAUCAACUGAUUCAGAUUGAUCGGUGGCAAACUCAUACCCCUGGGCAGAUUCGAAGUCGGCUAGAGUAAUAACUCGUUUAUUGGUGCAUUCAGAGGCCAUAUGACCUAAUCCCUGACAUCGGAAGCAUCGGCGAGGUGCUCUAGGUGGGUUGUCGGUGGUCGGCGUCGUGUUGGAGGAGCUUUUAGGGUUUAAAAAACCGGUUGGUUUAGUAGUGGUGUUGGAUUUUGGGUUGAUGGUGGGAUUGGGCUUGAAAAUGGGCCGGUUGGACUCUUGCUUGCCCUUCACUCUUUGUUGCAGGUCCACCUUGUGGGCUAACACAGUCAAUUCAGCCAACGUUUCAUAGGAGUGGAGUUCUACCACAUUAGCAACCCUGGGUUCCAGUCCGCCCAGAUAGCGAACCAGUGUUUGAGGGUCGUCUUCUGGUAUGUCACAUUUCAUGAGUAGGAAUUCGAAUUCCCGUGAGUAAUCUUCAACCGUACCUGUCCCCUGUUUCAAUGACUGUAAUUGCAAAAGACCGGCUUGGAUAUAAUGCGAGGGUAGAAAUUUCUGCUUCAAUUUAUCUUUCAUCUUCGCCCACGAUCGGAUCUUCUCCUUCCCACGUCGUUCCCGUUUUAAACAGACAUUGGACCACCAAGUUGAAGCAUAUUUACGGAGUUUCAGCGCAACGAUCUUCACCUUCUGGUCCUCUUCGAUUUGUUUGUAGUCAAAUACCCGUUCAACAGUCUGGAUCCAAUCAACAAACUCGUCAGGAUCCAACUUCCCUUCAUAUUCUGGUAUAUCCACCUUAAUAUCGUUGGGAUGCCAUCCCGCUUGAUCACGGUUACCACCCGUUUUGGAUCCACUCGUACCCCCAGAAUUACCCUCAUCGUCUGAUCGUCGUUGCUGGGAUACAAUUAAUUCUUGGAUUUGAUCCUGCAUCGCUUUCAUCUGUUGCUCUCUUUCUUGUCGAUCAUCCGCAAGGGCUUCAGCAAUCAAUUUCUUCAAUUCAGUAACACUUCGAGUAUCCAUAGCUCUGAUACCAGAUGAUAUACAGAGACGUAUUAGUUCGUUCAACGAUUAACCAAAACUGGUAAGAAAUUGCUUGAUAGAACAACGUACCCUCGAGAUACAGCCGCACCACUCGAAGAUUCGUUGGGCAAACACCUACUCUCUUCCAUGAUACAGAUUCACCACGUAGAAUUAAGAAGGAUCCCAGAUCACCUUCUAACCUGCCACCAGUUAGAAUAGCAAGGAAAUAGAAAAACUCACAGAGAGUUUUCUUAGUUUUGUAACUCCAAAAAACUGCCUUGUCAUUUCAUUAUCGAUCAUUACAUAAGCAGUGAAAUCAGAAACUGACUAACCACCCACUAAGCAUACAUUUAGGGAAAUGCAAAAACUACGUUGAAAAGUCAAAUAAAUUAAAAUAAAGCAGAAAAUAAAAUGGCAGAAAUAAACUAACGAACUUCAUAACUCGCAUGCAUGAUGGGCUUGUGAUUAGGAGUGGGCCGGCUUACGUUUUGGGCUGGGCUUGAACGGCACAUACCCAGGUCAGGUUGACCUGAUCUUGGACUGUCGCUGUGGCCUCCCCGGGUUCAGUUGAAGUCUCAAGUUCAUGUCCAUCAGGUUGCAUCUUGUAUUUAAGCAUCUUUGAAUUGAAUGAAAAGUAAAAAAGAAUUUAGUCGAAUCUUAAUCUCAGUUCUAUCUAGCAUCUCUCGUAAUUUCUGGCCAUUAGAUUGCAAGCUCGGUUCAUACUAGAUGAAAAUGACAAAAAAAAAAUCGUUUUUUGAUGAAAUAGACAAAUAUGACGAAACCUCAGGGGCGAUUUUAGCAAUUUACUCUAAUUUAUGUUUGCAGUAUUCAACUUUAAAUGCAGCCUGUUUUUAUUAAGAUAUUUUAAAUUUUGGUAUAACAUAUAUGUUAAAAUUUAUGUUUACUUAACAAUCCAGUUCAUGUUAUGCUAUUGAGUUGGGUAAAAUAAGCCAUACGAUAUCAGAUUGUAUGAAAAUAAUCUAGUAGUAACAUACCGCGUAUUCACGUUAGGAGGGAAUGCAGUUUUUUGCAUCUGUUCGUUCGUCUCCUGUAGCAGCAGAUAGUCUUGAAAGUAAGAGAAAAAGUUGCUGCCUGUAAAAUGAUCAAAAAGUUAGCAAACAAACAUAAAAAAAUGUUAAUUUUUUAGCUAGCAAACAAAACAAGUGUAAACAUAAAGAACAUAUAAACAACGGCUUAGUAAUUUACUUUUCAUCCAUAUAAACAUAAAGAUUCAAGUCCUGCACGAGGUGUCUCACAUCAAUAAUAUCGUACUCUUCCGAAUUCAUCAACCUCAAUGUUCACAUCUUUCUUAUGGUCGAGCGUGGGGUUGAUACUUAGUUUAAGCCAGUAGAAUAUCUCUCUACCAAAGUGGAUUGAGCUAUAAUACAGAUUUAAGACUUGUUAACCUUUUUAAUACACUUUAGGUGACUUUUGACCAAUUUAACAUAUUUCUUUAUAGCUUAGCUAAACAAUAUGACUGACUCGUUAUCAAUAAAAUUGACCCGUGGGUCAAAGUUGCCAUAUCUAUAACAAUAUGAUGUUCAUAACUAUCAAUUAGGAGGUGUGUUAUCAAAGCAAGCAAUGCAUCAGGCUAUAGGAGGUCUGUUAUCUUCUCAGUGUUGAUGGUCUCAUCAUUAUCGAGCUGUAAGACAUUUGCUGCCUUCACAUCUGUUGAUGAUUUUAUCAGGUAUAGGGAUGUAUUCACAACUCGUUUCAACAUUUUUAUCAUCUAAAUGAUCAAUAAUGAUUCCUUCAUGAUAUCGACAUGCAUUCUAAAGAAAGGCAAUGAUGAAUAUUUCUUUUUACUGUCCAUAAGAUUGCAAGCAAACAAAGGGGAACAAUGUAAGAAAGAUAACACCGAAUGUAUAAUGACUGAGAUCACUAGCUUGUUUAAAAUUAAAUGCAAAUACAAGACGGGUAUUAACUAUUAACCACAACAAUUGCUCUUUUGCUCAAUUGGUUGCCCUUUGAUUUGCACUGUGCGUCCUGACUUCUUGUCGCUCAUUGGCUGGUGACCCAUUCUGUAAAUUCCAAAAAUCAAAAUAACUAUUAGUAAAACAAGUAACCGACCUCAAAUUUUGACGAAAAAAAACAUAAAAUCCUCGAAUAACCAUGCUUCUAGUCCGUCUUACUUUUUCUUGAUCGCAGCAGCCAUCGUCAAGAAAGCUUGUUCCACAUUUACAGAGUCUUUUGCGCUGGUCUCAAGGAAAGGGAUCCCGAGCUCAUCUGCAAAUUCCUGCAGGUAAAUAUAAAUGAAAAAGAAGACUCACAAAAUCAACUCCUAUGGUGCUUAUGUAACUAUCCACAUAAGAAUCAUCCUGAAAGUAAAAGAUAUUGGAUUGUGGAUGAGGAAAUGAUGAUGAUGAUGAUGAUCUGGGCCGGACCGGGUCAAGGGGUCAGUAGGCGACUGCGCCCGACCCCCCGAACUUUUUCGUUCAGUAGUGUUCGGUAUGUAGUUUUUGUAUAGAAUUUUUUAGGUAUAUACGUUUUCGAUCCCCUGGUUUUAUAAUUUUUUAGGUAUAUACGUUUUCGACCCCUGCUUAGAAAUCUGAAUCUUCGCCACUGCCCAUGUUCACGAGGGACUACAUUUUUUUUUUAAAUAUAUGUUGCAUGUAAAGAGACUUUAGAAUUAGUUUAGAUUUAUAAAACGAUUGACUCGCUAGCUC